rnacentral:rRNA from 1 species
AUUAGUAAUAGUUAAGUUCUUGAAAAUUAAAAGAUUUGGCGGUAUUUUAGACUUUUCAGAGGAACUUGUUUUUUAAUUGAUACUCCACGAUUUUAUUUACUUUUUUUUUUAGUUUAUAUAUCGUCGUUAUUGAAAAUUUUAUUAAAAAUUAUUAAUUUUUAAAAUUUUAAAUUAAAAAAUAAUUCAGAUCAAGAUGUAAUUUAUAAAAAAGUAAUAAUGAGUUACAAUUUUUAUUUAUAUAAGAAUUUUUAUUUUGAAAAUAGAAUGAAUUAGGAUUUGAAAGUAAUUUAAAUUAAUUAAUUUAAAUGAUUUAGCUCUAAAAUAUGUACACAUCGCCCG